GACGAACGCUGGCGGCGUGCCUCAUACAUGCAAGUCGAACGCAGUUGCGAACGGGUGAGUACCGCGUAGGUAACUGCCUCAUAGCGGGGGGUAACUAUUGGAAACGAUAGCUCAUACCGCAUACUGUGAGCUGGACCUGCGUUGUAUUAGCUAGUUGGUGGGGUAAAGGCUCACCAAGGCGACGAUACAUAGCCAACCUGAGAGGGGGAUCGGCCACACUGGGACUUGUACACGGCCCAGACCCCUACGGGAGGCAGCAGUAGGGAAGUGUCGGCAAUGGACGGAAGUCUGACCGAGCAACGCCGCGUGAGUGAAGAAGGGUUUCGGAACGGAAAGCUCUGUUGUUAGAGAAGCGUUAACUAACCAGAAAGGGACGGCUAACUACGUGCCAGCAGCCGCGGUAAUUC
rnacentral:rRNA from 1 species